rnacentral:rRNA from 1 species
AUUGAACGCUGGCGGCAGGCCUAACACAUGCAAGUCGAGCGGAUGAAGGGAGCUUGUUCCUGGAUUCAGCGGCGGACGGGUGAGUAAUGCCUAGGAAUCUGCCUGGUAGUGGGGGAUAACGUCCGGAAACGGGCGCUAAUACCGCAUACGUCCAGAGGGAGAAAGUGGGGGAUCUUCGGACCUAGCGCUUUCAGAUGAGCCUAGGUCGGAUUAGCUAGUUGGUGGGGUAAAGGCCUACCAAGGCGACGAUCCGUAACUGGUCUGAGAGGAUGAUCAGUCACACUGGAACUGAGACACGGUCCAGACUCCUACGGGAGGCAGCAGUGGGGAAUAUUGGACAAUGGGCGAAAGCCUGAUCCAGCCAUGCCGCGUGUGUGAAGAAGGUCUUCGGAUUGUAAAGCACUUUAAGUUGGGAGGAAGAGCAGUAAGUUAAUACCUUGCUGUUUUGACGUUACCAACAGAAUAAGCACCGGCUAACUUCGUG